UACCGGGGGAGGAAAGUCCGGGCUCCACAGGGCAAGGUGCCAGGUAACGCCUGGGCGGCGCGAGCCGACGGAAAGUGCAACAGAAAGUAUACCGCCUAAGUGGCCGUGACAUGUUCGCGGGCACCGGUAAGGGUGAAACGGUGCGGUAAGAGCGCACCGCGUGACUGGCAACAGUUCACGGCGAUGGUAAACCCCACCUGGAGCAAGACCAAAUAGGAAUCCUAUGGCGCGGCCCGCGCUGGAUUCGGGUAGGUCG
rnacentral:ribozyme from 1 species